GGGGGAAUAUUGGACAAUGGGCGAAAGCCUGAUCCAGCAAUGCCGCGUGAGUGAUGAAGGCCUUAGGGUUGUAAAGCUCUUUUACCCGGGAAGAUAAUGACUGUACCGGGAGAAUAAGCCCCGGCUAACUCCGUGCCAGCAGCCGCGGUAAUACGGAGGGGCUAGCGUUGUUCGGAAUUACUGGGCGUAAAGCGCACGUAGGCGGCUUUGCAAGUCAGAGGUGAAAGCCCGGGGCUCAACCCCGGAAUUGCCUUUGAGACUGCAGAGCUAGCAGGUGAGAGAGGUAAGUGGAAUUCCGAGUGUAGAGGUGAAAUUCGUAGAUAUUCGGAAGAACACCAGUGGCGAAGGCGGCUUACUGGCUCAUACUGGACGCUGAGGUGCGAAAGCGUGGGGAGCAAACAGGAUUAGAUACCC
rnacentral:rRNA from 1 species